AUGUCUCUCCUGUAUACAUCGGUGACUCGUGUCAUGUCUCUCCUGUAUAAAUCGGUGACUCGUGUCAUGUCUCUCCUGUAUAUAUCGGUGACUCGUGUCAUGUCUCUCCUGUAUAUAUCGGAGACUCGUGUCAUGUCUCUCCUGUAUAUAUCGGACACUCGUGUCAUGUCUCUCCUGUAUAUAUCGGUGACUCGUGUCAUGUCUCUCCUGUAUAUAUCGGUGACUCGUGUCAUGUCUCUCCUGUAUAUAUCGGUGACUCGUGUCAUGUCUCUCCUGUAUAUAUCGGUGACUCGUGUCAUGUCUCUCCUGUAUAUAUCGGUGACUCGUGUCAUGUCUCUCCUGUAUAUAUCGGUGACUCGUGUCAUGUCUCUCCUGUAUACAUCGGUGACUCGUGUCAUGUCUCUCCUGUAUAUAUCGGACACUCGUGUCAUGUCUCUCCUGUAUAUAUCGGUGACUCGUGUCAUGUCUCUCCUGUAUAUAUCGGUGACUCGUGUCAUGUCUCUCCUGUAUACAUCGGUGACUCGUGUCAUGUCUCUCCUGUAUAUAUCGGACACUCGUGUCAUGUCUCUCCUGUAUAUAUCGGUGACUCGUGUCAUGUCUCUCCUGUAUAUAUCGGUGACUCGUGUCAUGUCUCUCCUGUAUAAAUCGGUGACUCGUGUCAUGUCUCUCCUGUAUAAAUCGGUGACUCGUGUCAUGUCUCUCCUGUAUAUAUCGGUGACUCGUGUCAUGUCUCUCCUGUAUAUAUCGGUGACUCGUGUCAUGUCUCUCCUGUAUACAUCGGUGACUCGUGUCAUGUCUCUCCUGUAUACAUCGGUGACUCGUGUCAUGUCUCUCCUGUAUAUAUCGGUGACUCGUGUCAUGUCUCUCCUGUAUAUAUCGGUGACUCGUGUCAUGUCUCUCCUGUAUAUAUCGGUGACUCGUGUCAUGUCUCUCCUGUAUAUAUCGGAGACUCGUGUCAUGUCUCUCCUGUAUAUAUCGGAGACUCGUGUCAUGUCUCUCCUGUAUAUAUCGGUGACUCGUGUCAUGUCUCUCCUGUCAGGGUGUCCGCGGGGUUUUAAAAAGUAUUAA
ensembl:lncRNA